UUUCGACCUGAGGUCAGGCAAGAACACCCGCUGAACUUA
rnacentral:rRNA from 1 species